rnacentral:rRNA from 1 species
AAUAAUGGCAAAACCUCCUUGUCAAAGUUUGAUUUUGUCUGAUCUCUGAAGCUAAGCAGGGCUGGGCCAGGUUAGUACUUGGAUGGGAGUCUGCUGGGAAUUCCAGGUGCCACAGUGG